rfam:Canis lupus familiaris chromosome 14, whole genome shotgun sequence.
GUGCUCACUUUAGCAACACACACACUAAAAUUGGAACAAUACAGAGAAGAUCAGCAUGGCCCCUGCACAAAGAUAUGAGAAUUUGUAAAAGAGUUCCAAAAAAAAAAA